UAUCUCCGUCUAAUUCAUUCUUAUCAUCAGUCUGAAUAUGGCCUUUAAGGUCAGGGAUUUCUUGCCCCCAAGCUUCCUCAUCAGGUGCAGCCUUUCCGCUCUGUAAAUCAUUCUCCCUCUCCUUUAUUUCCUUGGCUUCCAGAUAUUCUUUUGGUGGUUUGGUUGAUAUUAUAAUUCGUUUCUUCAAUGAUUCUGGAGAGGGAAAUUCCUUUAAGCAUUCUGAGCCAGGAGAAAACAGGAUGUCUCCAAAUGUUUGAGUGAUCAUCUCAGCCACUUUAGCCUGAAGAUCUGGAGUAAGAUGGUCUUCUAGAGUUAUAACAACCGGAUACUCGGACGCACUAAAGGCAUGCUCCUUGAUGGACCUCAAACAUUUUAUGAGUUCGACUGGGGUUGUCAGUGUCCUCCCAUGAAGGACAUCCACAUUGUCUUUAGUGGAAUUAGGCCAUAUAUCCAAUUCAAUUACUCUCACACCUCUC
rnacentral:misc_RNA from 1 species